GGAGGUUUAGCUCAGCGGCAUAAGCGCCUGCCUUGCAAGCAGGUAGUCCUGAGUUUGAUCCCCGGUACCGAUA
rfam:Cavia porcellus supercont2_64 genomic scaffold, whole genome shotgun sequence.